rnacentral:rRNA from 1 species
GCGACCGGCGCACGGGUGCGUAACGCGUAUGUAACCUACCUAUAACAGGGGCAUAACACUGAGAAAUUGGUACUAAUUCCCCAUAAUAUUCGGAGAGGCAUCUCUCCGGGUUGAAAACUCCGGUGGUUAUAGAUGGACAUGCGUUGUAUUAGCUAGUUGGUGAGGUAACGGCUCACCAAGGCAACGAUACAUAGGGGGACUGAGAGGUUAACCCCCCACACUGGUACUGAGACACGGACCAGACUCCUACGGGAGGCAGCAGUGAGGAAUAUUGGUCAAUGGACGCAAGUCUGAACCAGCCAUGCCGCGUGCAGGAAGACGGCUCUAUGAGUUGUAAACUGCUUUUGUACGAGGGUAAACUCACCUACGUGUAGGUGACUGAAAGUAUCGUACGAAUAAGGAUCGGCUAACUCCGUGCCAGCAGCCGCGGUAAUACGGAGGAUUCAAGCGUUAUCCGGAUUUAUUGGGUUUAAAGGGUGCGUAGGCGGUUUGAUAAGUUAGAGGUGAAAUCCCGGGGCUUAACUCCGGAACUGCCUCUAAUACUGUUAGACUAGAGAGUAGUUGCGGUAGGCGGAAUGUAUGGUGUAGCGGUGAAAUGCUUAGAGAUCAUACAGAACA